UACGGGAGGCAGCAGUGGGGAAUAUUGGACAAUGGGCGCAAGCCUGAUCCAGCCAUGCCGCGUGAAUGAUGAAGGCCUUAGGGUUGUAAAAUUCUUUCAGCAGGGAAGAUAAUGACGGUACCUGCAGAAGAAGCCCCGGCUAACUCCGUGCCAGCAGCCGCGGUAAUACGGAGGGGGUUAGCGUUGUUCGGAAUUACUGGGCGUAAAGCGCACGUAGGCGGAUCAGUCAGUCAGAGGUGAAAUCCCGGAGCUCAACUUCGGAACUGCCUUUGAUACUGCUGAUCUGGAGUUCAUGAGAGGUGUGUGGAAUUCCGAGUGUAGAGGUGAAAUUCGUA
rnacentral:rRNA from 11 species